AUGGAGAAUGCAUUGCUGAAGCUUUGGUCAAUGGUUGAAGAGAGCAAGUCUGCUAGGGUGGAUGAUAAUCUUCAAAGUUCUUUAACUAUUCACCAUUUGACAGAAGAAAAUAAGAAGCUGGAUGCACAAUAUGACAAGUUAGUGAAAGAUGUGCAUCAACUUGUGGACUUUCAGCAGGAUAGGGUUGUGGAUUUCAGUUAUCUGCAGUCAGCUGUCACAUAUCAGCACCAAUACAGAGCUGAAUUGGUGGCUGGUAUGAAUGCAAAAAUGGCAAAGAAAGAUGCAGCUCUAGAGAAGCUUCAACAGAAGUUUGAAAUCUUGUGCAACCUGACAAGUGCUCAAGCAACUGCCAUCCAAAACCUCAAGUUGAAGAAUAUGAAAGAGAAGCAAUUGAGGAUUGAGGCUCAAGAGAAUUUGGAGCUGAAGAAUGCAGAGUUCACAAAGUUUGAGGAGAAGCUCACCCAAGAGAAGCUAGAGUUGAAGUUCCAGGUUGCUGAUCUGCUGAAGCUUAAGGAAAACCAUAAAGAAGAGAAGCAGAUGCAAGAGUUUAAGAUUACUGAGCUCAUGAAGGCAGAGGAGAAGCUGAAGGAGAAGAUCAAGGGGAUCCAGGCCAUCUUGGAGAACUGA
rnacentral:rRNA from 1 species